rnacentral:rRNA from 1 species
AUUGAACGCUGGCGGCAGGCCUAACACAUGCAAGUCGAGCGGAUGAAGGGGGCUUGCUCCUGGAUUCAGCGGCGGACGGGUGAGUAAUGCCUAGGAAUCUGCCUGGUAGUGGGGGAUAACGUCCGGAAACGGGCGCUAAUACCGCAUACGUCCUGAGGGAGAAAGUGGGGGAUCUUCGGACCUCACGCUAUCAGAUGAGCCUAGGUCGGAUUAGCUAGUUGGUGGGGUAAAGGCCUACCAAGGCGACGAUCCGUAACUGGUCUGAGAGGAUGAUCAGUCACACUGGAACUGAGACACGGUCCAGACUCCUACGGGAGGCAGCAGUGGGGAAUAUUGGACAAUGGGCGAAAGCCUGAUCCAGCCAUGCCGCGUGUGUGAAGAAGGUCUUCGGAUUGUAAAGCACUUUAAGUUGGGAGGAAGGGAAGUAAGUUAAUACCUUGCUGUCUUGACGUUACCAACAGAAUAAGCACCGGCUAACUUCGUG